UACGUAGGGAGCAAGCGUUGUCCGGAAUAAUUGGGCGUAAAGCGCGCGUAGGUGGCCCUGUAAGUCCGUUGUGAAAGUCAAAGGCUCAACCUUUGAAAGCCGAUGGAUACUGCAGGGCUAGAGUACGGAAGAGGCGAGUGGAAUUCCUGGUGUAGCGGUGGAAUGCGCAGAUAUCAGGAGGAACACCAAUAGCGAAGGCAGCUCGCUGGGACGUUACUGACACUGAGGCGCGAAAGCGUGGGGAGCGAACAGG
rnacentral:rRNA from 1 species